rnacentral:rRNA from 1 species
UACGUAGGGUGCAAGCGUUAAUCGGAAUUACUGGGCGUAAAGCGUGCGCAGGCGGUUGUGCAAGACCGAUGUGAAAUCCCCGGGCUCAACCUGGGAAUGGCAUUGGUGACUGCACGGCUAGAGUGUGUCAGAGGGGGGUAGAAUCCACGUGUAGCAGUGAAAUGCGUAGAGAUGUGGAGGAAUACCGAUGGCGAAGGCAGCCCCCUGGGAUAACACUGACGCUCAUGCACGAAAGCGUGGGGAGCAAACAGG